GAUGAACGCUAGCGGCAGGCCUAAUACAUGCAAGUCGAACGGAUAUAUGUUUUUCGGAAUAUAUAUUAGUGGCGCACGGGUGAGUAACACGUACAUAACUUGCCCUCAAGCGGGGGAUAGCCUUGGGAAACUGAGAGUAAUACCCCAUAGAAUUAUUGGACGGCAUCGUUUGAUAAUUAAAACUACGGUGUUUGGGGAUAGAUGUGCGUCUGAUUAGCUAGUUGGUGAGGUAACUGCUCACCAAGGCGACGAUCAGUAGGGGGCGUGAGAGCGUGGCCCCCCACACGGGUACUGAGACACGGACCCGACUCCUACGGGAGGCAGCAGUAAGGAAUAUUGGUCAAUGGAGGGAACUCUGAACCAGCCAUGCCGCGUGAAGGAUGACGGCCCUCUGGGUUGUAAACUUCUUUUGUACGGGAAAAAACCUUCUUACGUGUAAGAAGCUGAUUGUACUGUAAGAAUAAGGAUCGGCUAACUCCGUG
rnacentral:rRNA from 1 species